GGGAUGUGCUCAGAGCAGGGGCCUGAAACAUGGUUCUUCAGUUUUUAACACACCCAACAGGAAUCCGGCGUCACUGUGAGGAGGGACACAAAACUUGUGGCCUUUCUACAAACAAAUUUCGUACAUGU
ensembl:snoRNA